UUUUGCAUUCCGGCGUGGGUAUUCUGAUCCAAAAGUGGUGGUGUAUGCACACAAUUAUAUUACUGAAUAAAACACACAACUUUAUCGACCUAAUUAAGAACAUUGUCAAACUAAUUACUAAGUUUUUUUUUUUUUUUUUGAAAAUUGUCCAAGUUUUGUUUUCUCCCUUUCUUUAGAACGGGUAUAUAUAUAUGGUGUAUAAAAAUAUGCUGCAUGCUUCUAUUUAUACCAUAUGUCGUUUUAAAAUUGCCUUAUAAAAG
rnacentral:lncRNA from 1 species